CAACAGCUGACCUGUACAGAGCACUCUGCAGUUUACAAAGCGCUUUCACACACCUUGACUCAUUUCCACCCUACGACAACCCCGUGAGGUUGGGAUUAUCAUUCCCAGUCAAGAACUGAAGAGACUGAGCCCCUGAGAGUGGCUUGUCCACUAUUGUCACUGGUAGAUGGCCAAACUGUGACCGGAAGCCUGGUCUUCCUGCUCACAGACGGAGAAGAGCGUGUCCUGGGGCCCUCUCACUACCAGGCCCUUGUCAGUUGUUACCUGCAUACGUGAGGGAAGCUGAGGCUCGCUAGGUUUGCUUAGCAAUUUGCUCAGGGUCUCCAACCAGCUGGUGAGUGCUGUCAUGAGGGGCCGAACCCAUGUGGUUCUAACUCUAAAGUCAAUGGAUACAUGAAUUUAUUCGGUGAGAUCAUCAGCCGUUUGGUCCUGUCCAAAACAUCCAUAAGACAUUUGGUCCGUGCCAAAAGGUCCUUGAUAUUUGGUCAUAUUUAUUCUUGUCCAAAAUGUCUAUGGAGACAUUAGGUCCAUGCCAAAAGGUUCUUGACAUUUGGUCCUGUCCAAAACCAUUUGGCAUGGACCAAAUAUGCUCAUGGACAUUUUGGACAGGACCAAAGCUCAAGGACCUUUUGGCGUGGACCUAAUGUCUUAUGGACGUUUUGGACAGGACACCCUGCAAGGAUUAGGAUGCAUGGCCUCCCAAAUCCCAGGUCUUCUCCUUGACCCAGAGGGACUUCUCCAUGGGCACUGAGCUGUGGCUGGUCACCCUGUUGCAGUGGUUCCUAGUCUGUCGAGAGUCAUGAUUUCCAGCAUCACCCUUACCCUCGUCAUCACUUACUAGGUGCUUACUAUAUGCCAACGUCUUCACCAGGAACAUUAUGUAACUGAUGCUCUGGGCUGAAUGGUGUCCCCUCCAAAUGCAUGUGUACCUCAGUACCUCAGAUUAUGACUGUAUUUGAAGAUACGGUCUUUAAAGAGAUAACAAAUGUAAAAUGAGGUCAUUAGGGUGGGCCCUAGUUCAAUAUGACUGGUGUCCUUAUAAGAAGAGGAAAUUAGGACAUGGACGCACACAGAGGGAGAACCAUGUGAAGACACAGGGAGAAGACGACCAUCGGUAAGUCAAGGAGAGAAGCUACACAAAGAACCAAUCCUGCCGACACCUUGAUCUUGGACCUCUGGCCUCCGGAACUGUAAGGAAAUACAUUUCUGUUGUUUAAGCUGCCAGUGUAUGGUACUUUGUUAUGAGGCCCUGGCAAAUGAAUGCACCUGUCUCAUUUAGUUCUCACACGCAUUGUGGGGGCGGAGAUUCUAAUCCUUGAGGUGCCCAAAGAAGGGAGGAGAGAGAGGGGAAUGAGCCUCAUGAGGUUGCUGACACCCAGACUGGUACCCAAGAAGUGGCGAUCAUCCUGGUGACAGUGCCAUGAAGGGGCUGGUGGCCUCAGCCCUCAGCUGUGUGAGCUCAGAAACCCCAGGGGCAGCCCACUGAGAAUGAAAAUCACACAGCUUCCCUUGACUGGACUCUGUCCCUCUGCCAGGCACACGCUUGGGGCUGUACACAUACCAUCUUGCUUCCUCCUUGCAGUAGCCCCAUAGGUUGAGCAUUGCCAUCUCUUCACUUUGUAAGCGGGGACAUGGAGGCUCAGGAAGUUUCUGACUUGCCCAGGACAAUACAGCUCAUGGUGACUAGGGGUAGAAUGUGAAAUCAGUUUCGCCCAGCUCCAGAGUCAGACCAACCAACACAGGAAGAAUGGUAUAUACAUAUAGAUAUAGAUGUAUAGGUGUGUAUACAGGUAUUUAGGUAUAUACACACACACCCACCCUGUAUAUAUAUGUCUGUGUGCAUACAUAUAUAUACCCGCAUAUCUAUCUAUAUCAUCUAUAUCUAUCUCUAUAUCUAUACACUUGAUCCCAAGGGAUCAAUUUCCAAUGAGAACCCACCCUCUCUGUGAUCUGGACUGUGCUGGGAUUGCUGGGUGGCAGUAUUUUGUUCCCCGCAGCUAUGCUUGUCCACAGGUUGAAUGGUAAUGCUGGGAUGGGAGCAAGGAGAGUGAGAAAGCGUGCGUGUGUUUUUUUUGCUCGGCAGCCAAUAAGGCACUGUGCCUAAGAGAACACACCCACAGGAGGCAGCCUGUGUAGCCUGCCAUCUCAGCUGCCUCACUUGCCAGCUGUGGGACCUAGGGCAGGUUGCGUAACCUCUUGGCGCCUCUGUCUCCUCGUCCGGGAAGCACAGAAGUGUGUACCACAGAGCCCCUCGGGGGCUGUUGGCAGGACCACUGGGUCCAUGUGCCCAGAGCCCUCUGCAGCUUCCCUUCCAAGUGAGAGCUGCUCCUGCGCUGUCUUGGGAGAGCCGCCCCGGAGGCGUCAGGCUUCAGGAUGGAGCAGGAAGGCCAAGUUCUCUUCCCACUCACUCACAAGCUCUUGGCUUGCAUCUGCUUUACCCUCUCGGUCCUGCCAAUGACCUCUCUUUGACAGGGAAACUGAGGCUCAGAGAGGACGGGAAUGAAAGUCAGCGGUGGUGUCCUGGGACGUUGCUGCAGACCUGUGGUUCGCAAGCUGGGCUGCCCGUUAGAAUCCCUGGGCAGCUUUGAAGAAUUUCCGCGUCCCGGCUGCACCUUGACCGAUGACUUUCGAGUCUCCGUGGACCGGGCCUGGGCUGCUGGUGAGGCUUCCUUCUGAAGAACUGACUUCCGGCUGCCACAGCACUAAACAUAAAAGCCAAGAGACGGUCAUAAGGAAACGGGGGCGGGGAGAGCGCGUUUGUUGGAAUCUCUUCUUCCACGGUCACACACUGGCUGAACAUAGCCUGGAGAGGGACUCGGCUCUCAAGGACACGCGUGAUUUGGACUGACGAUCCAGGUUAGACACCGGGAAUCCAGGAUAACCGCCCAUCUCCAAGUACUUAACUUUACACACAUCUGCAAAGUCCCUCUUGCCAAGUAAAGUAAUAUUUUUCACAGGCUCCAGCGACUAGGAAUGGGGGCAUCUUUGAGGGGCUGUUAUUCUGCUCACCACAAGUGCUCAGCACAGUAAGGACUUGGGGAAGGUUAGUUAUGCUGAUCUCAUCUAGGUCAUCUAGCUCAGCUGGUUCUGCUAAUGACUUGGAGAGGCAGACACUGCUACACGCCCAGAUUCUGUCACUUCCUUGCUGUGUGAACUUCGGCUGGUUACUUAGCGUCUCUGAACCUCACUUUCCUUCUCUGUAUAAUGGAGGAUAAAGUACCAAUCUUACAGUGUUGUUUGUGAUAAUAAAGUGAAAUAAAGCCGCUUAGAGCAUUGUCUGGCAUGUAGUAAGCACUAAGAGGCAUCAUCUAAAAUAAUAUUAACAACAGCAGCAUCAGUAGCAUCAUCUUCAUCUUACACGAAGGAUGUAAUCGGCCAUUCACAGUUGCAAGGUCUGUUGCAGACGCAGGCCUGUGGCUCCAAGGUCUGUGCUUUCUUCAGGAGCGAGAAAGGGACCUGUGGGCUCCUCAGGGAAGAAUGAAGGCCGGGGGUGGACUCUCCAAGAAGCAGAUUUCAGCUCAAUGAAAGAACUUUCUAUUAGGCCAGUUGUCUGGCAAAGGUGAGCCUCCUUUCCUGGGGGCUGCACAGAGACCCCCCACGGUCCCUUCUUCCAACUCCAGAGUCUCUGAGUAGGGUCUUCAGGAUGCAUUUGGCUGGCUUCCCGACCUCCUGCAGGAACGGGGCUGACCAGGUGCCGGGAGCUCCCUGUGGAGCGGGGUGGCGAGGGCUUCUGUGAGAAAGGCGUAGCUUCUGGUCUCCCCUCUGCACUCAUCUUCCAUUUCUCAGGACACCCUGUGGCUGGGCUGUUGGCAGAGGCCAUGGGAGUUCGCCAACAUACGAGCGGAAGGACAGACAUGGCAGCCCCUGCUAGAUCUUUGGUUUCUCACCCUUCAUUCUACAGAUGAGGAAACUGAGGCCCAGAGAGGUGCUGGGGUUUGCCUGAGGUCGGUCGUAAUGCAAGUGGGAAGAGACCUGGGACUGGAAUCCAGAUCUUGCAGCUCGCAGGAACAGCUUCUCUGUCCUCCAUCCCUCCCAGUACAGACGUACUGCAUGAGAGACACUGUGCCAGAUGCUCCCUUUUCAGCAGAGAAAAGAUACACACCCUCCCCUGCAUCCAAGCUCUGUGGAUUUCCUCCCCUGACAGUCCAUCCUUGGGGGCCUCCUGUCGAUCACCCCAGUGUGCCGAACGCUUUUCAGCCUCCAGGCCUUUGUCCCUGCUGUUCCUGCUGCUGGAGCCCCUUCUCCCUGCUCCGUGCAUGGCUCACUCCUUUCCUUCCCAGCACCUGGCCGGAUCCAUGGUGCCUGCCUCUUCUCUCUCUCUGGGGCUCGUUUUGCUUCCUUCGCUGGCUCCCACACAGCAGUCUGCUUGAGCUGAUUUCUUGCUCAUCAUCCGUGCCUCCUCUAGGCUCGGAGCCCCCUUAGGGCAGGGACUCUGUCACUGUUCCCACCACCAUGUCUCCACGGGCUCUGUGCUUGAAAUGUACCUGGUGACUGACUAAAUCAAUGUCUGCUUUCCAGUGGGCAAAAGAGUUAUUAACAAGGCGUCCUGCACAUGAGUAAGUAAUUAUGAAUUGUGGGAACUGCUGGGAGCGGGGUCUGCAGUGCUCCCGGGGGCCCGAUAUGUGGGGACCUGCCCCUGCUGGGUCUCCGCCAGGGCACUGAGACCUUGGGGCAGCAGUGGGUUCCUCUGAGGAGGAGCCCUGAUCCCCCAGACCAGGGCAGGCCUCCCGUCCUGUGGCUUGAUAGCUCCCUAGAGGCUUUCUUUACAGCACUCAUUGCAAUGAUACCCAUGUACACAGUUAGUUCUAUUUUUAUUGUGGUUAAAACCCCAUAGCAUACAUUUUACCAUUAGUGACAUUUAGCGCAUUCACAAUACUGCUCAAACAUCACUGCUGUCUGGUUCCAGACAUUUUUCAUCAUCUCCAAAGGAAGCCUCACACACUUUAAGCGGUCCCUUCCCGUGCUCCCACCCCGCGCCCCUGGCAACUGCUAAUCUACUUUCUGUCUCUAUGAAUUUGCCUAAUCUGGAUGUUUUAUAUUCAUCGAAUGAAAUUAGUAUUUAAAAAAAAUUUUUUUCUGUGUCAUCAUCUCCCCCAGGGUAGGAAUUGUGUCUGUCUGCCUGGCUUGCCUUUGCCGAGUUCUGGGCACAGACAAACAGCCGUGGCGGCACAGGAGGACGUUUUCUCCACCGCGCGUCUGUGAGCUCAUAGGAGGUGGGCUGUGCGUCUUAUAGGACCAGCGGCGUGCGCGUGCUCAGGUUCAGUUCCUCCAGCUGCCUCUUGCUGGAUCAAGUGUUACCUGAGGACAGUUGCUUAAUACCUCGAAGCAUCCAUUUCUUCAUCAAUAAAAAGUAGAUAGUGGUGAUGUUCGCCGCCUUGGGGUGACAUGAGGACAGAUGACCUGCCGCUGGCGCCAGGGCCUGGCCAGGAGCAGAAACUCAUGAACGUGAGCUAUUGUUAUUAUUUUCCAAGUUUUCAAUCCCAUGCUUUAGGAUAGAUAAUGAGCAGAGUCCGAACUCAGCAAAUGCAUUUUAGUUGGAAUGAUGCGUAAGAGGGUUUAAAAAUUAGGCCAGUGGACGUUCAGGUCAAAACUGCAGAUAGCUCAUUUGGGGUAAAGACAAGAAAGAGACCCCUUGCAUUAGCUUUUGCUAAGUUAUUCUACGAUGAUGAACAUCAACAACCUGGCAGAGGCUUACAGCCAUAGGGGUUGGCUUUGCUUUCUUUGUGGGUCCCUGUGGACCAGUUGUGGCUCUGCUCCUGUGUCUUUUCAUUCCAGGGUCCAGGCUGAGGAAGCUGACCUCACAUCUGGGAUGUGCCACUCCUGUGCCAGAGGGAAGAGGCAGGGAUGGCUGACAUCGUUACCACUCACAUCCGGAGGCUACGCCCAUCACAUUGCCAAGCUUGGUGUCUGGGGUGGGGGCAGGGCAGGGACUGUACUGCCCUCCUCCAAGCGGGCACCGCAGGUAGCCGAGCAGGGAGUAGGGAUGGAUAAUCCUCUCCCAGGGAGGGCAGCCAAUAACUGGGAAUAAUCAUAGGCGGGCCACCCUCUGCCCUGAGAGCUUUAGUUAUUUUGGGGGCGUGGUCUGACGCAUCUCUUCAGCUCGCUCACUUCAGUGCUCCACCUACAACCCAGCACCAUCACCCUAGGAGAUUUGGGGGGCUGUCAACUAAGAAUGGGUACAGUGAGUGGUCUGUGAGGGUCUCUUGCUCUGCAGAUUUGGUCCAUACACUGAAACCUAUGAAACCCCCUUCUUGGCAGUGUUAUCUAUGGUAGUAGAAAACGAGGAAUAGCCUAAAUAUCCCUCAAUAGGGGAAUGACAAGUGAACAGUGUUUUGUUCAUGCAAGGGCAUCUCUACUACCAUUGAAAUAGAUGAACCACAGCUAAAUAUUAAAUUGGAAGACUCUCCAAAAUGUAAUGGUGAGUGGAAAAAGCAGAUGUAGGAUGAUAUCAAUAGAAAAACAUGCAGUCUUUGAAACAGGGAAUUCCUCAAAAUGUUAAACACUGAGUUACCAUAUGACCCGGUAAUUCUGCUCCUAGGCAUACACCCAAGAGAAUUGAAAACACUUGUCCACACCAAAACUUGCAUAUGAAUGUUCAUGGCAGCAUUAUUCAUAACAGCCAAAAAGUGGAAACAAUUGAAAUGCCUACCAAUAGACGAAUGGAUAAAAAAAUGUGGUAUAUCCACGAAAUGGAAUACAAUUCAGCCAUAGAAAAGAGUAAAGUAUUGAUACAUGGUACAUGGAUGAAUCUUGCAAACAUUCUGCUAAGUGGAAGAAGCCAGACUCAAAAGACCAUAGAUUGUAUUAUUCCGUUUAUAGUAAAUGUUCAGAAUAGGCCAAUCUGUAGAGAUAUAAAUAAGAUUCGUGGUUGCUAGGGGCGGGGGAGAGGAGGGAGUGACUGCUGAAAGGGUACAGGGGUUCCUUUUGUGGUGACGAAAAUGUUCUGGAACUGGAGAGUGGUAAUGGUUGCGCAAAAUUGUGAAUAUAUGAAAUGACACUGGAUUUUGUACGGCAACCUCCCUUGUCCACAGGGGAAACGUUCCAGGACCCCCAGCGGAUUCCUGAAACCGAGGAUAGACUGAACUCUACAUAUGCUAUGCUUUUUCAUAUAUAUACACGCUUAUGAUAAAGUUUAAUUUGUAAAUUGGGCACUGUACAAGAUUAACAACGGUAACUAAUAAUAAAGUAGAACAAUCAUAAUGAUAUUAUGUGAUAAAAGUUACUGUGGAUCUUAGCCACCUCUGCAUAUAAUUUUUUUCUUUCCUUAUUAAG
rnacentral:lncRNA from 1 species